rnacentral:rRNA from 1 species
GCUCAGGACGAACGCUGGCGGCGUGCUUAACACAUGCAAGUCGAGCGGGAACCCAGGGAGGGGUAACCCUCCUUGGGGGAGAGCGGCGAACGGGUGAGUAUCACGUGGGCAACCUGCCCCAGACACUGGGAUAACUCCGGGAAACCGGGGCUAAUACCGGAUACUUCGAUCGGUCCGCAUGGUCCGAUCGAGAAAGCUCCGACGGUCUGGGAUGGGCCCGCGGCCUAUCAGCUUGUUGGCGGGGUAACGGCCCACCAAGGCGACGACGGGUAGCUGGUCUGAGAGGACGGCCAGCCACACUGGGACUGAGACACGGCCCAGACUCCUACGGGAGGCAGCAGUGGGGAAUCUUGCGCCAAUGCGCGAAAGCGUGACGCAGCGACGCCGCGUGGGGGAUGAAGGCCCUCGGGUCGUAAACCCCUUUCGCCAGGGACGAAGCGAAAGUGACGGUACCUGGAGAAGAAGUCCCGGCUAACUACGUGCCAGCAGCCGCGGUAACACGUAGGGGACGAGCGUUGUCCGGAUUCAUUGGGCGUAAAGCGCGCGUAGGCGGUCGUGCAAGUCGGUUGUGAAAUCCCGGGGCUCAACCCCGGGACUGCGUCCGAUACUGCACGACUGGAGGCAGGUAGGGGAGAUCGGAAUUCCUGGUGUAGCGGUGAAAUGCGCAGAUAUCAGGAGGAACACCGGUGGCGAAGGCGGAUCUCUGGGCCUUGCCUGACGCUGAGGCGCGAAAGCUAGGGGAGCGAACAGGAUUAGAUACCCUGGUAGUCCUAGCCGUAAACGUUGGGUGCUAGGUGUGGGCGGACAUCGACCCCGUCCGUGCCGAAGCUAACGCAUUAAGCACCCCGCCUGGGGAGUACGGCCGCAA